UACAGAGGGUGCGAGCGUUGUCCGGAAUCACUGGGCGUAAAGGGCGCGUAGGUGGCCCGACAAGUCCGUGGUGAAAGCUCGACGCUCAACGUCGAGUCGGCCAUGGAUACUGUUGGGCUGGAGCACUGUAGAGGCUCAUGGAAUUCCGGGUGUAGCGGUGGAAUGCGUAGAGAUCCGGAAGAACACCGGUGGCGAAGGCGGUGAGCUGGGCAGUUGCUGACACUGAGGCGCGACAGCGUGGGGAGCGAACAGG
rnacentral:rRNA from 1 species